rnacentral:sRNA from 1 species
GUCCGAUGUCAGUCGGAAGCUGUGCCACUCAUUGUCCACCGGGCUUGCCCCGGUUUUCGAAGGGAUCGCGCCUUGUGCCCGAUCCUUUUUUUG